GAUGAACGCUGGCGGCGUGCUUAACACAUGCAAGUCGAACGAAGCACUUUAUUUGAUUUCCUUCGGGACUGAUUAUUUUGUGACUGAGUGGCGGACGGGUGAGUAACGCGUGGGUAACCUGCCUUGUACAGGGGGAUAACAGUUGGAAACGGCUGCUAAUACCGCAUAAGCGCACGGCAUCGCAUGAUGCAGUGUGAAAAACUCCGGUUGUAUAAGAUGGACCCGCGUUGGAUUAGCUAGUUGGUGAGGUAACGGCCCACCAAGGCGACGAUCCAUAGCCGAGCUGAGAGGGUGACCGGACACAUUGGGACUGAGACACGGCCCAAACUCCUACGGGAGGCAGCAGUGGGGAAUAUUGCAAAAUGGGCGAAAGCCUGAUGCAGCGACGCCGCGUGAGCGAAGAAGUAUUUCGGUAUGUAAAGCUCUAUCAGCAGGGAAGAUAAUGACGGUACCUGACUAAGAAGCACCGGCUAAAUACGUG
rnacentral:rRNA from 1 species